rnacentral:lncRNA from 1 species
AUGAAGCUUGUUCAGAAUUCUUUUCUCUACAAUAUAUCCAAAAAUAGUCGCAGUCUAACAAGUGUAGCUUUCUCGGCAGUGGUACACCUGAAACAAGCUUUUGGUAGUUUUCAAGUGUUGUUUGAAUUGUUUAUUUCUCUUUGGAAGCUUCACGUAGCUUUCGCACCAAUAUUAAGGUAAAGUUUUAAGAUGCUUAGAUUUCUGGAAAUUUGUGUCUGAGUUGUUGGCCGAAGCCGAAUUUGAAAGUGGAAGUACCAAAAGAUAAUUUAAAAUAAGGGGUAAAUUACUCAAAUAGUCCUCAAACUUGUACGCAAUUUACAUUUUGGUCUAUAAAUUAAAUUAUAAGUCCAAAUGGUACAUAAACUCUAUUUUAAUCGCUCAUUUGAUCCAAUCGUUACAUUUUCUGUUAAAUGUAACCAAAUUUUAGGGGUAAAUACGACUUUUCAUAAUUAACAAAGAAAAUAGGGUUAAAAUAAAUACAAAAUUAGAAAAUAAUUGAAGAAAAAGAGAGGAAAAAAUCAUGAGACCCAAACCCCCUCCCUUCCAUUUCUUCUCUCUUACUCCAAUUACGGAGUUUUUAUUUUAUUUUUUAUUAUUUUUUUAUUUUAACGUACGAAAUGACCAAUUUGCCCUCAUAUUUAACAGCAAUAUUGACAUAAUGUAGCGGUUGGAUCAAAUGGGCGAUUAAAAUAGAAUUUAUGUACCAUUUGGACUAAUAUUUUAAUUUAGGGACCAAAAUGUAAAUCGCGUAUAAGUUUGAGGACCAUUUGAGUAAUUUACCCUUAAAAUAAGUAUAUGUAAAGUGAAAAUAAAGGAAAAUGUAAGGACCAAAGUGAAAUUCUGGAUAAGUCUGAAGACUGAAAUGUAUUGGAAAAAGUAUAGGCGCCAAAGUGAAAAUAAAGGAAAGUAUAAGGACAAAAGUGAAAUUAUUGACAAGUAUAAGGACUAAAGUGCAAUUAAAGCUAGUUGUAAUGACGGAAUUGCAAAUAAGGGUUUUUAGUAACAUUUUUGAAAUGUUGGCUUAGGAAUCAGUUACCCAAGCAAGAACAAUUUGAGUUCAAAGGUGUAGAAUUCAAGUGA